rnacentral:rRNA from 1 species
UACGUAGGGUGCGAGCGUUGCCCGGAUUUAUUGGGCGUAAAGGGCGCGUAGGCGGCUCGGCACGUCCGUUGUGAAAUCGCCCGGCUCAACUGGGCGGGGUCAGCGGAUACGGCCGAGCUUGAGCAAGCUAGGGGGCAAUGGAAUUCCCGGUGUAGUGGUGGAAUGCGUAGAUAUCGGGAGGAACACCAGAGGCGAAGGCGGCGCACUGGACAGCAACUGACACUCAACUGCGAAAGCGUGGGGAGCAAACAGG